rnacentral:rRNA from 1 species
GACGGAGGGUUCAAACGUUGUUCGGAAUCACUGGGCGUAAAGGGCGCGUAGGCGGCAGAUCAAGUCAGCUGUGAAAUCUCAGGGCUUAACCCUGAACGGUCAGCUGAUACUGUUUUGCUAGAGUACAGAAGGGGCAAUCGGAAUUCUUGGUGUAGCGGUGAAAUGCGUAGAUAUCAAGAGGAACACCUGAGGUGAAGACGGGUUGCUGGGCUGAUACUGACGCUGAGGCGCGAAAGCUAGGGUAGCAAACGGG